GGAUAAUAUAUGAACAAAUUGUACAAAUGAUAGUGUUAGACUUAUCACAAAACAAUCCAAAACAAAAAAAACAUCAACUCUGAAAUGUAUGUGGCUGUGAAUUUGGAAAGACACUUAAAUGUUUCUUUAGACCGUUGAAGUGUUGUUGGGAAAUGAGUGUACGCAGCUUGAUCCUUAAAGAUUUUUUGGACAUUUCUGCCGUCUUGUUGUUAGGC